rnacentral:rRNA from 1 species
AGGUCUUGACAUCCCUCUGACCGCUCUAGAGAUAGAGUUUUCCUUCGGGACAGAGGUGACAGGUGGUGCAUGGUUGUCGUCAGCUCGUGUCGUGAGAUGUUGGGUUAAGUCCCGCAACGAGCGCAACCCCUAUUGUUAGUUGCCAUCAUUCAGUUGGGCACUCUAGCGAGACUGCCGGUAAUAAACCGGAGGAAGGUGGGGAUGACGUCAAAUCAUCAUGCCCCUUAUGACCUGGG